rnacentral:rRNA from 1 species
UACGUAGGGUGCGAGCGUUGUCCGGAUUUAUUGGGCGUAAAGAGCUUGUAGGCGGCUCGUCGCGUCGGGUGUGAAAACUUGCGGCUUAACCGCAAGCCUGCACCCGAUACGGGCGGGCUAGAGUUCGGCAGGGGAGACUGGAAUUCCUGGUGUAGCGGUGGAAUGCGCAGAUAUCAGGAGGAACACCCGUGGCGAAGGCGGUUCUCUGGGACGGUACUGACGCUGAGACGCGAAAGCGUGGGGAGCGAACAGG